UGGGGAGAAGCGGUGCAGCUCCGGCCGCGCUGUGGUUCUGGGAAGGGGGCGGCUCGGAGACGGAGCAGGUAUCACCGGGCAGGGACAGGCGGUGGGAGCGGUAUCCACAGUGACUGACAGCCGCGAGAAGACCUUGGGGAGAAAAGGUCAGCGUUUUAGUUUUGGCGUGUCGGCUUGCAGUUAAUAGCUGGAUGUCGAUGAACUGAUGUCAGAAAAAUAGGCAAAUAUUUUAACUUGAAAGGAAGAGGAGACGGAGUCGAAGAGGAGUAAAUAUAUGAGUCACUUGCAUGGUUUUGAGUGAGGUCACUCUAUAUGAUAUUCUGAGUCAGGACCCUGGAGCUGAAAAACCCCCAACUCUAGGAAAAUCAGAUGUGAAUAUUAAUCUGAAGCUUGUAACUGGGUUCUGUGUUACGGUCAGCUGAAUCAAAAUCCCCAAAUGUGGCAGAAACACGAGUGUGCACUUUGUGAAAAGUCAAAUCAGAAUUCAGACGUUGUUGCUCACACUUCUCUCGUUGAAACACAUUUAAGAGUUUUUGAGUUUUCUGAAGGAAUUGGUCAAAAUCGGGGAGAUACACAGUUUAUUUAUACUUAAGGACUGCUUAAUCCCCCAAACGGGUUGGGAUCCACUCUACAGUAACACAAAAAUACCACAUAAUUCAUUUGAACAGUUUACUUUGAGACAAGAUAGAAGAGGGAGGUGCAGCAACUAGUAGGGGUUCUACCAGGAUUAGGGAUGUGGGUGCUGAUGGGAUCAUGAAGUUACAUGGCCUAGUGCUUCAUCAGAUAGAAGUUCUAAAUUACCUGAAAGAAAAAUAAGAGUUAUUCACACACAGCCUAGUCAUAAGUGACCAGAUAAUUUCUCAUAAGCAGCACAGCAGAAAUGUUUUUUUAAGAAGGGAUUUAAAAUAGGUUUGGACAAAAGACCAAAUGUAGGGAAUGUGUCUCCAGAGAUCCACAGAGCCUGUGUCAGGUUUUGUUAAUGUCAGCAGGAAUCUUUGGGGUGACUGCAGCAAGCUUUGAAUCAAGCACCAGGCAAUUUGAAGACCUAUGCUUUUCUGUUUCCCAUUAACUACAGGCAAGCUGCAUCUCUUUCCAUCACUUUCUUAUCUACAAAAAAAGAAAGUUUGUAAAAACUAAUCUUUAUCUGAUUUAUAUGAUUUAGUGACAUCACCGAGGGCACUAUUUAGAUGUAACAUGACAAAGAAAUUCUUAAAUAAGCAUAACAGCUCUUUUUGCAUACAAAAAAAGGUGUGAUUGCUAUGACUUCAAAGGCGACUGUGUAGACACAGUACCUUCUUGAAAUUCUUGCCCAAUAGAUCUAUUCCUCCAUCCUUAAGGACAUAUCUGUUUACUGACAAAACAAGUUUUACCCUGUUAGCAUUACAGAGACAAAAUCACAAUGGUAGAGUCAGCUGAAUUCCUUUGUACAACACAAAUCCUCAACAAAUUCAUCAGCUGAGUUCUAACAGCAGAAUCUUUAUUACUGGUUAUAAAUGAUUAAGCAGCAAAAAGAAAGUCAGAGUCCUGCCCUUAGUUUGCAGGGCUGGUAUUCAUAAAAUUAUUGUUCUAACAUGAUAGCUGGGCAAAUUUUAUAUGGAUAUCCUAAAGGAAAAAUAACACCACCUUGUGUGGUGUUUUUGCUGUUCUACCUAUAAUAACACAUUUUUUAUGAUAACACCUAGCCCUAUCGAAAGCCAUCUAAGGAAGAACUAUUAGUACUUAGUUCAAAUAGGAUAGUUUUGAAGUCUCUGACUCUGUGAAUUGUCAGAUGUUAUUCACUAUGUUUUGUAAGGCAAAGUCCCAGAGUUCCAGUGUGCUUUGAAAAUAUUGGUGAAUAUUCCUGAUAGGUUUGUGCGGUAUUUAGGUCCCAUUGAGCUGGAAUUGCCAAAAAAAAAAAAAAAAAGAUACUGCAGCUUUAGUCGUGUGAGUCCACGGUUAGAUUGUUUGCCUCUGUCUCUUUACUCUCUGAGAUGUCAUUUAACUCUUUAGGUGUUCACACCUAAAUUUUAAAAUCCAAAUAUCUCUUAGAUAUCUACCAGCAAAAUCCUUGAGGGACUCAGGAUUGUCUGCAUUUUUAUCAACAUAUUUUAAGAAAUUGGCAAACUGAGCGUUCAUUGGCUUCAGAGCCUUGUGAAAAGUAACAACUCUGAUCUCACAGAACGGCCCCAGUAGGAGCAUCGAACACUUCUAAGCAAGAGCCAGCAGUAGUCACCAGCUUCAGAUAAUUUUUUUUCCAUGAGAGGCCUGGAAACUGGAUGAACAGCUAAAAUUGUUGGAUUGUACAGAAUAAGUUUCUUUUAUUACCUCUUUCUUUCUCAGACGUACAUAAUACAAAGUGGAACAAUUUCCACAAAGCAGAAAUCUUCAUAUGUCUGUAAUUAGGGUACUUUCAUAGAUCAAGCCUUCUCAGGAAGAAGAAGAAUUCAAAUCUGGGUCUUGGACAUGCUUUAACUGCUAGCUGUUAUGUAAGAAGAGAAAGGAGGGAAACUGCUCAUCUGUGCAACUGUUUUGGGAAAGAGGUUCCUAUGUUUUUACCGCUCACUGCUGGCUAAUCUCAUUCUUAGGCUCCUACUCUCCCCGUGUGUUGUAUAGAGAGCAUAAAAGCAUUAUUUAGGGGAAGUAGUAGAUUCUACUGGUUGAUAGGGUGCUUCGAAAUUAAGUGUAGCACUUCAUGUGGAUCCAGUCCAUUUCUGUAUUGUACAUACAGAAAAACCAAGGCAUAGAAAAGUUGAGUGAGUUGCCCUCAUGAACUCAGUUCUCAUGAACUGUCUCUGCCUGGAGACAUGAUCUGGCUCUGUUCACAAGUGAGAAACAAGUUAUGUCAAUAGAGUAAGAAGGACAAUAAAACAAACAGUCCAAGCAAAUGCUUAGUCUUUGAAAGCUGCCACAUAUAAGCUACGUCAUACUGCUAGAGACAAGAGUACAUAGCUAAUGGCCUUCCCACUGGAGAGUCCAGAGUGCUGCACUAACAGUCGGAAUAUCACCAUCAAUCAUGGUGGUUGUGAUGGAAGUAGAAUGAGAGGCAGUUUUUCGGAUAAUGAGGUCUUGGGACUUUAGAGGUUAUAGCUGAAGAUCGUCAUUCUACUUCCAGAAAAGAAUUUACAUUUACCUCAUUAGCAUAACAGGUGCUUUGUUUUUAGAUCCAUAAAAAUGAAGUGGGGAAAGGAAUAAGGUUUUUUUUGUUUGUUUCCUUUUCUCACAUGCUAGUGCUUAAUCUGUCUAAAAGGUUUAUUUUUUCUGGAUUAAAAAUAAAAUAUCUCCUUUUUCCUGAUUAUAGAUUAAUGAAAAUAGCCAUAGACAAGAAGGAAUGUCUAUGAUUUUGUGUAUCUGGAAGAUGUAAGAGGAGAUAGGUUUUAAAGGAGUCACAAGGUUAAAUAACCAGCCACAAUCAUCAUUGUUGAUUUUCUGAUUCCCAUAUUAUCUUGGUGAAAAUACUACAGUUGUGUAAAAUCUACAAAAGCAAUUCUUAAUAUUCUUUCAUUUCAUUCACGAUACAGCAUCUGCUGCAUUGCAACUGGAGGAUUUAAAUGCAACAAGCUUUUCAAAACCCGUAUAUUUUCAAACCAAGCCUUGGUAAGAAUGACACUACCACAUCAAUCACAAGCACAGACUGGCUAUAAAAUUACAAAACCACUCAAGCCGUCUGUAUAAUUAAACACAAACCAAAGCAAUCAAGCAAAUGUUAAAGAAAAUAUCUUCAUAUUGUAAACUUUAUAGGUAAAGGCAUGUAUCUGCUGUCUCUAAUUGAGAAAGUCUGUGUCUUUAAUAGAUGCACUUUAUUAUUGCUUUGCACUCUUUUAAAUAGCAUGCUAGCUGGUAAAUGCUGAAAUAUCAGCUGGUAUAGUCUGUGCUGUGUAGAAUUCAGGAUCUAAAAUACAAAUGCCAAAGGAUUAAGGAAAGGAGGUGCAGAACAGAAGUGAAGUGGCUGACAAUAAUGCUGGGUGUGCCUGAUAAUGCCGGCCUUCGUCUGGGUGCCUUUCUUUUACUUGGUUACAUAAUUCUCCCCAGCUGCUAGCAUUGCCGUUGCUAGCUGGGUAGUUUCUUGGAGGCAUUUGGAAGACAGAAGUGAAACUCUCAAUCUAGGUUAAUUGCAAUGCUUACGUGAUGUUGGUGUGCCAGAUUCUGUGCUGCAAACCUCAGGAGGACCCACGCAGUAAGCAUAGCUUGGAGAGCAAGGACAAAGUGACCUGAAGUUUCCUGUUGCUUCUUUCUGCAUUUAGGCUAAGUGUGGGGCUACGCAGCCCAUGGGCAUACGUCAUAGCACUCCCAAAGGCUGAUCUGAUUUAUGAGAUCCUCCCUGUCUUGCUGUCAAUAGGCUGCUGAUACUGCCCAUGAUACCUUAGAGAAGAAAAGGAUUUCUGCUGCUCACUUUUCUGCUGUGUGCAUUCUCCCCAGCGCUUCCUUUGCAUGACACAUUGUACAGGUUAAAAAAUUGGAAGCAUGCAUAAUAUAAAGCUGCUAGUCCUUCAGCAGUGCUGGUGGCAUCUUCUCAAAGCUGUUUGUGCCACCUUUUAAUUCUGACAGGGGAACAAAGAGAAUUAGGAUUGACUCAGUCCUGUCAUCUGCGUGCUAGUAAAUAUUUCUCUCCUCCACUGAACCCUUACCCAUAUGAAUACAAGCAUUUCUGAUAGUUUGUUCGGGGUUUAAGAUCAAACAUGUAAACACCUGCUUUCUGAAAUGAAACCCAAAACCCAGAACUGGGUAAACAGGCAUGAGGAGAGUCAGAAAUUUUAGAAAGACGUGCCAAACUGUAUACUGGACAGAACUAAUUAACAAGAAAUAUUCUGGAAAUCCUAUGUUUUCUUAGAUCAUAUGUACUUCUGAACUGAUAUAUCCAUCCUGAACCAAUCUGGAAUUCUUAGCAGAGUGAGAACCCACAUGUAGUCUCUGAAAUAAUGUUGUCUUGGGCAUCCUAGGCCCCUUCUUUUUUCCUUCCUUUGGGUAUUCUUGCCGUAUCACCUCCAAAUAAAGGUCCUAACCACUGUCUUACAGGUUUAGGUGUGUCUUUGUGCCCCUUUAAGGAUGCCUUCCUGAUGAAUCUGAGUCUUCAGGCAGUAAAAAUGCAUUAAUAUGAAGGCAGAAUAGAGCAAGAAGGAAAGAUUUUCUAGUCUCUCAAUAAAAGCACUCAGCAGGACAGAGGGAGAGAGGUAAGUUGCAAAUUUAGCUACCUCCACAGUUAGAUUGCGUGGAGUGUUUUUGGAUUGCAAUCCUGGAUUUCGGUGUAAGACCCAUAUUAGGCACCUAAAUCCUCCUUUUGAUCUGGCGGUUAGUCAUGAAUAUGCAGGAACUGGCUUAGAAAGUGACAGUAAAACCCUAGGCACCAAGCACUCCCUGCAAUGAGGGUGAAAUGCCAGUAGGGCUUGUACAGAGCAGUCUAAAUAAAGAUGAUUAUUGCUGUAGUUCUAUCUGCACCUCUGAAUCCCCACAUUAUGUUAUACAGAUAUCUCCGUACUAGCACUGUCAUUCCUACAAGCAGUCUACUUUUCAUCAGGACUUAACUACUGUCAACUGGGGGGAAAAUAAGCCAGUCUACCUGAUAUGGGGCCAUAAACAGCUAUGGUUGCUGUGCCUAUUCUUGGGGAACUUGCAGUGGCUGUAAAAUGGGAAUAAACAUAAUCUUGUGUAUACCAGUGAAGACAUAGCUUUGCAGAUAAGAUUUUACUCACUUGAAGAAAUUACGUCAUUUUAUAUUCAAACAACAGAGGAGUUGAGCAGUAGUGUAAACACUCAGGGUAAACACAGAACAGAGAGGGAGGGAAAGAAAUAACCUAGUUUUUUCCCUCUUUGGAAAAAAAAGUCUGAUUUUCCUGUUCUCUCCUCAUUUUGUUCUACAAGGACAGUCUUGUUUAACAACUUGUCAGGCUUGACUGUCAGACAGUAAAUGGGAUAACUGUACGAUGAGACUAGCAUAGAGAUGAUCUGUUUUGCCCCAAUCCAAAUGAAUACUCAUCUAGACUUUGGUGAUAGGUGAUGACGUUAAAAAAAUAAAACACAGUAUGGAUAAACAGAAUUAAGAUACAAAAAUGAAAAUUACCACAGAAGUGAUUACAACAGAAGUGGAAGAAAAACCUCGAAGAUUUUAAUAAAUCUGGUGUCAGACAAGCACCAGAAUUCUGAAACUACUAAAACUAAAUCUUAAAUUCAGUAACAAGUGAUUUUCAAAGAAAUUGCUAUUGUCAUGGUGAUGCCAUAUGAUUGAAAAUAGGAAGUACAGAGCUGUCUAUUAAAAGGAGACAAAUAUUACAAUUACCAAACUCUUUGAGUGACCUCAGUAGUUUACAGUGUUUGAAAACAUAUUUCAAUGCAAAUAACAAAGAUAUGGAAGCAAACAGGAAAUAGAUUAUAUGUACAUCAUACCAGAUUCAUCUGAAAGCUUUAAAAUAACUAGGCAAAAAAAAAAUGUAUAGCUGAUCUCAUUUACCUGGCAUUCAGUAAAGAAUUUGAUAUGUUGAGGUCGGAGAAGAUGGGAAUUAAUAAGGGAACAAUAAAAUGUGAAAGAACUGAUUAGAGGCAAGACAAACAAUGCCUUAUGGGUUGAAACAGAAGGUUACUAGUCGAAUUGCUGAAGAUCUGGAUUGGUAGGAAUUGCAAGGACCAGUCUUUGUCAGUCUUGUUUAACAUCUCAGAAUUAGAACCUUCUUGUUUAACAGCACAAAACCUGGGAUUGUGCUGAUGAUGUUUGCCAUUUGCACAAAGGAGACAACAUCGGUAGAGCUGAGGUCUGGGAUAUUGCUCAGAAGAACUGGAUGAGCUUAAUGACGGGAAUGAUAGAAAUGUGAUGAAAUUAAAUAGUACAGUAUAUAGUGGGAUAUGCUUUUGGGGACUAGUAAGAAAAUCUGAAAUAAGGUGAGAGUUUGUCAUUUGGAAACAGCCAAGGUGAAUGACCUCAAUGUGUUAGCUGAUGAAACUGGGAAUAAAAAGGGUAAAUGGUACUGGAAAAUGUAACAAAGAUAUUCAAGUAAGAUAGAGUAAAGGCAAGAUCAAGUAAAAGCACUGGUGGGACAUGUACAACUCUGUUCAUCAUAUCAAAGGAGAUGAACUGAAAUUGGGAGCUGGACAGAGAUAAGGGAACAAGGGAGCCUGUUUUAUAUGUGGUGAUUUAAAUAAUUUAAUUUGCUUAGUACCACAGAAGGAUGGCUGGGAGAGGCUUUGAUGCUCUCUGUAGACACACCAAGGAAAUAAAUACCAUGAAAGAAGGAGCUGUUGAAGUUACAGAACAAUGGAAGACAUAUGGAUGUAAAUUGGACAAGGAUAAACUUAGAGUGGAAGUAAGAAGAAAGUUUCUAGCUAUUAGAGCAAUGAGGUUUUGGUACAGCCUUCUUCAGAGUGAAGGCAGCAAAAAAAGAACUACCAUCAGCAUGAUCAGCACAUUUCUGAAAGCAAUUACAUGAUGCAGUGACUACAAUAGCAGCAACUGGGCCCAGGAACCAUCAAAGUUGCUUUCAGUUCUUUGUUUCUAUGGCUGCAGUCAUAAUAGUUUGUAAAAAGUGUAGCGCAGCCUGGAUGAAAGUGAAACCAAGCUAUUUUGUGACUAAUCAAAGACUUUGCAAAGAGUCCUUUUUUUUGUUCAAAAGCCACCCUGAAAAUAAUAAAAACUAGCACAGUUUGGAUGGAACCAAAUUGACUGUUUUUCUUGCCUAAGGAAAAUAACCUGGAAACAUUUCUUUGCGUAGACCAUGAAAUGUUCUGUUUGACCCGGUGUAGGGUAUUUGCUCUGGAUCCUUUGAAAGAGGAGAGGCAGUCCCCCUUCGUCUCCCAGCGCUUGCUUCGGAUCUUGAAAUCCUACUUAUGUGCAAGGGAAUUUGAACCUUUCUGCUUCUUAGAAAGCUGCUCCAAACACUAAGCAUUAAGGAUUCCUGGAGAGGGAGUAAGGGGGAAUUCUUCCUCGUGUUGAAGCUAUUCCACAAAUAGGCCCCAAGUUCGUCGGGGCAGCGAGGAGGAGCAUGGGAAUGGCUCCGUGAGCUGGGAACCGGCAGCUCUCCUGGGAGGUGUGUCCACAGCCACGUCUGUCCGUACCAAGUCACUGUGCUAAAAGGAAGGAUGGAGUGUACCUGCCUCAAAACACCCCACUGGUACGGCUCUGCUGCCUAAGUAAAUUCUCCAGUCGUUGAGCUACUGAGUAACAAGGGACUUUCCUCUGCCAGAGUUUACUCUCUCCUUUUUUUCUUUUUUUUCCCCAGCCAAAACUAUUCAGCAAAUUUGAAGCAAAUAUUUUAGAGAUGACUGAAACCACAUUUGCUGGGGAAUUAACCAUUAAAAAUAAAUAAAUAAGUCACCCAACUCUAACUAUUACCAUUUCAAAAAUCUGUGCUGCUUCUUUUGCACCUAAACUGAAGCACAUUUUAAUCCUUUUUAAGUAUAAGAAUUUGACCCAUCCACCCAGCCAGGGUAAUAAAUUAGAGUUCAUAAAUUGUACUUUUUUAUUGUGGCACAUAAGGCCUAUUACAUCACUUACAGCUAAUGCUUAUUUCUUCAGCUUGACAAUUUUUUUCAGCCCCUCUCAUCUGGUCAUUUCUAACAGCCAGUCCCUGUAGGAGGGGAGACUCUUCAGCAUUAGCACUGCAUCCUUCUCCAGUCAACUAGUUUUGAGGUAAUAGAAAGAAAUACAUUUGUCACUGAACGUACGGCUAACUUCUUGUUGGUUUAAAUAGAUUAUACCAUGGCACAUGGUACAAGUAAAACCAUAGGAAACGAAGAAGAAAAUAUUUAGCUGGAGUAGAGAAAACUGUAGGAAACACUUUUUAUGUUUUCUGUUACACCAGAAUAGAAUUGCAGCUCAAAACCAAAUGUUGAAAACAUGGCAUUGCCUGCAGAAUGGAAAAACAGAAUUUCACUUCAGAGAAGAAUGAAGUUCAGGUUUUUGAGAACUUUCCAAGGAGCUGCCCUCGAUUCCCACGAGGCAGGUGCCCGGUUCGCCACGCAGCCCCCGCACUGCAGCCGGGAGCCUCGGGGCUGCUGAGCCGUGGCCCUGAUUCAGCAGCAUCCCGCGGGCGGGCUGCUGGCGGUGGGGAAGCCCUUGAACUUGGGCUGCCAAGGACUUGGGGGUUGUGUGAUGUGCUGAAAGAAAAAAAGCAGCCAGGGAUGUGUGAGGAAGCUGUUCGCUUUCCGCCAGAUUGGAAUUUUACAGUGGAAGAUUGUUCAACUGGAAAAUUUCCGUUCAGCACUCUGAGAUAUUUGUGGCACCUCAGCCCUGCGUAGCAUCUUUUCGGAUCCGUAGUUUCCAAACGUUUUCCGUACGCUAUGAUCACAGGAUGUGAUCCAGCAGUUCUUGAGACGAAUCUCUGCAUUUCCCUUGUGAAUACUCUCCCAGGCAAAGUGCCAAAGGAAAAGAAGUAGGAAAAUAGUCCAACUCCACCUCCUCUCAAACUUCUGCAGUGGAAAGGUCAUUCAAGUAGCACUCCCCUGGAAAUGGGCUAGACUGCACAUGAUUCUGCAAAGGAUGGCACACGACUAAUACAUACUAAUAAAAAAGGAACCCAGCAAGUUCCCUAUACACAUAAUCAAGUAUUAUUGCAUAACUGUGGAAUCUGCCUAAAGCUAUUACGAGAUACCUGAGUACUAGUAACCAAAAUCAUGUGUUAGAUAAAGUGAUGCAAGAGUCGAAAGGAUAUU